GAUGAACGCUGGCGGCGUGCCUAAUACAUGCAAGUCGAGCGAAGGGACCAGAAGCUGGCUUCUCUGAUUUUAUCGGCGGACGGGAGAUGAACACUGGGAUAACCUACCUAUAAGACUGGGAUAACUUCGGGGAACCGUGACGAAUACCGGAUGAUAUUUUGAAACGGAUUGUGCAAGAGUGAGAGAAGGUCGUGCUUUCACUUAUAGAUUGAUCAGCGCUGCAUCAGCAAGUUGUUAAGGUGAAGGCUUACCAAGGCAGCGAUGCAUAGCCGACCUGAGAGGGUGAUCCGACACCCUGGCACUGAGACACGGCCCCGACUCCUACAGGAGGCCGCAGUACGGAAUCUUCCGCAAUGGGCGAGAGCCUGACGGAGCAACGCCGCGUGAGUGCUGAAGCUCUUAGGAUCGUAGAACUCUGUUAUUAGGAAGGAUGAUAUGUGUAAGUACCCGUGCACAUCUUGACGGUACCUAAUCAGUAAGCCACGGCUAACUCCGUG
rnacentral:rRNA from 1 species